UGCGUAGGUGGUUUCUUAAGUCAGAGGUGAAAUCCACGGGCUCAACUCGUGAACUGCAUUUGAAACUGUUUUUCUUGAGUAUCGGAGAGGCAAUCGGAAUUCCUAGUGUAGCGGUGAAAUGCGUAGAUAUUAGGAGGAACACCAGUGGCGAAGGCGGAUUGCUGGACGACAACUGACGGUGAGGCGCGAAAGCGUGGGGAGCAAACA
rnacentral:rRNA from 1 species